GAUAAAUUCAACGGCCGCGGUACCCUAACCGUGCAAAGGUAGCAUAAUCACUUGUUCUUUAAAUAAGGACUAGUAUGAACGGCAUCACGAAGACUAUACUGUCUCCCCCCUGUAAUCAGUGAAACUGAUCUCUCCGUGAAGAAGCGGAGAUCUAUCUAUAAGACGAGAAGACCCCAUGGAGCUUAAAACUCAACACUAACUGCUAACCCCCCGUACCAUAAUAACCCAGCAGCUCAUAGACGUUAGUUUUUGGUUGGGGUGACUGCGGAGUAAAACCUAACCUCCAUGAUGAACGGACCUAUAAUCCUAAUUCUAGAACCACACCUCAAAAAAAUUAAAACAUUAACAUAACUUGACCCAAUCCUAUUGAUCAACGAACCAAGUUACCCUGGGGAUAACAGCGCAAUCCAUUUUAAGAGCCCCUAUCGACAAAUGGGUUUACGACCUCGAUGUUGGAUCAGGGUAUCCUAGUGGUGCAGCCGCUACUAAAGGUUCGUUUGUUCAACGAUUAAAACCCUACGUGAUCUGAGUUCAGACCGG
rnacentral:rRNA from 1 species